GAACGGUACACUAUUCCCGGACAGUGAUGGCAGACCAGCAGGUGUACCGCAUGGAUGAAUAAACAGCUCCAGAGAGCGGCAGAGACCAGACCAAGUCCCAGAACGACACACUAUUCCCGGACAGUGAUGGCAGAACAGCAGGUGUACCGCAUGGAUGAAUACACAGUUCCAGAGAGCGGGAGAUCCCGGCCGAUGUCCGAUGACGAAGCACUGUAUGGGACACUUUGAAGGAAGGGUCGGUCUCCUGGAUGAAAAGAACUUUAAUUUUCUGACUUAAAAUACGGAGUUAAAGUUUCCAGUCGGGACGAUAAGGAGGGCAAAAAAACCCGGACUUUUUUGGCUCCGUCAGAAACUAAGUAAAAGUCGGAAUAUGUGAAGGAAAGCUCAGAAAAUGCCUGGAGAAAUUUGAGCGGACCGGAAAAAAAAAGUUCCAGCCGACAUCACUGGGCCACCAGGUCGCAGAUUCCUGAAACCCGGUUUUUAGAAACAUAGGCCUCCAGGAGUGAGGACCGGCGUUUGUGCGGUUCGGAUCCGACUCAGACCUCAGUAUUUUCGGACACCCUCGGACAGUGGCGGGGGUGGAAGAACCGGAGCCUCAUGCAGAACUGGCUGUCGGGGAGCAAGCGGACGCUACCCCGGCAGGAGGCAUCAUUCCGGGCACUGUGGCUGAUCGGUAGCUUUCGUGGAUGGAUGACUGAGCGAACGAACGAGAUGACGGCGGUGCGUCCUGGCUGAUGUCCCAGUACGGGGCACUAUUCUCGGAUGCUGAUGGCAGAACAGCAGGUGUAACGCAUGGAUGAAUACAGAGUUCCAGAGAGCGGCAGAGACCAGACCAUGUCCCUGUACGGGACACUAUUCUAGGAUGCUGAUGUCAGAACAGCAGGUGCAGCGGACGGACUAAUACACAGUUCCAGAGAGCGGUAUUUCACGACAGAUAUCCGAUGAUGAAGCGCCAUUGUCGGACACUGAUGGCAGAACAGCAGGUGCACUGGAUGAAGGAAAUAAACAGAACAUAGUUCCAGAGAGCGUGAUAUCCCAGACCAAGUCCCAGAACGGCGCGCUAUUGUCGGACACUGAUGGCAGAACAGCAGGUGCACUGGAUGAAGGAAAUAAACAGAACAUAGUUCCAGAGAGCGUGAUAUCCCAGACCAAGUCCCAGAACGGCCCACUAUUCCCGGACACUCAUCUACUUAAAAUCUCCCUGAUUACCUGCCAGAACAGAGCAGAUCCAGAGAGCGGUAUUUCACGGCAGCUAUCCGAUGAUGAAGCGCUAUUGUCGGACACUGAUGGCAGAACAGCAGGUGCACUGGAUGAAGGAAAUGAACAGAACAUAGUUCCAGAGAGCGGGAUAUGCGAGACCAUGUCCCAGUACGGGACACUAUUCUCGGAUGCUGAUGUCAGAACAGCAGGUGCAGUGGAUGAAGGAAAUAAACAGAACAUAGUUCCAGAGAGCGGGAUAUCCCAGACCAUGUCCCAGUACGGGACACUAUUCUCGGAUGCUGAUGUCAGAACAGCAGGUGCAGUGGAUGAAGGAAAUAAUCAGAACAUAGUUCCAGAGAGCGGGAUAUCCCAGACCAUGUCCCAGUACGGGACACUAGUCUCGGAUGCUGAUGUCAGAACAGCAGGUGCAGUGGAUGAAGGAAAUAAACAGAACACAGUUCCAUGGAGCGGGAGAUCCCAGACCAUGUCCCAGUACGGGACACUAUUCUCGGAUGCUGAUGUCAGAACAGCAGGUGCAGUGGAUGGAUGAAUUAAACAGUUCCAGAGAGCGUGAGAUCCCAGACCAUGACCCAGAACGACACACUGUUCUCGGACACUGAUGGCAGAACAGCAGGUGCAGUGGAUGGAUGAAUUAAACAGUUCCAGAGAGCGGUAUCUCACGGCAGUUAUCCGAUGACGAAGCUUUAUUGUCGGACACUGAUGGCAGAACAGCAGGUGCGGUGGAUGGAUGAAAGAAACAGUUCCAGAGAGCGGUAUUUCACGGCAGUUAUCCGAUGAUGAAGCGCUGUUGUCGGACACUGAUGGCAGAACAGCAGGUGCGGUGGAUGAAAUAAACAGUUCCAGAGAGCG
ensembl:lncRNA